GGGGUAUACAAGCUUCACUAUGAGAAAAAAAAAAUUUACAAGAGAAGAUCACACCCUCAACUCUCGUACACCAAUCCCUCUCUCUCAACAAGAAGCUCUCUCUCACAAAAGCUCUCUCUCUAAGAGAUCCCUUGAACCCCUAAAAUGACCAUUGCCUGCUGCCUGACAGUCUGUCUGAAGCCCCUACUUCUGCUCUCUGCAGGUGCCUC
rnacentral:lncRNA from 1 species